CUGCAUUAAGCUUGAAACAUCAAAUACAAAUAAUUCCAAGCUAAACCUUCUCUAAUAAAAUAACUAAAAACAAAUUAACAAUAAGCUUAUACAACGAUUAAUCAUCACCUGAAUCAGACGGUUUACAUUUACAUUCACAAUCAGAGCUAGAUGUUCAGAUUUACUGCAGAUAACACGAAAUAGGUGAAAUUAAGUGCAGUUAUGUUGUUUGACAUAAAAAUAAGGCACAGUUUAUAUUAUAAGGUAAGCAAAUAGAAAUAAAUAUGCAGAUACUUCCUGCAAUCACAUCAAACUUUGUACACAGAGCAAAACAGUCAGUGUGGCACAAACAAACUUUUACAAUUUCUAAAAGUGUCACUUUUUUUAAUUUUAUUUUUUAUUUAGUCUAUACAUGACUUUUUUCAUCAGAUAUUUUGGCUAAUAAUUGAAGAAUGGUGUAAAGUGGACUAUCCAGAAUUCAGAAUGAGUGAAAGGAAUGAAAUGUGAGAUUUAGAUUAGAU